rnacentral:lncRNA from 1 species
CCAAACACAUUAAAAGCUAAAUACAAAAAUACAAUAGAAAUAAUGAAAAAACAACCAUUUGUACCCAUGAACUUUACGAACGCUGACAAAAGUACCCAUUAAAGAUGGAAACUAACGUUGUAUCCAUUAAAGAUGGAUUCCAUAUGACAAAAGUAUCCAAAUCCUAAAUUUAUGUUGACUUUUUAAUAAAAUUCCAGAAUUACUCCCACCAUUAUCUUCAACCCCUCUUCUCUUAUUUCCCAAAUCUCAAACACCUCCAUUGUCUAAAAAUCUUAAUCUCAAUACCUAAAAACCCCAAAUUACCAUUUUCCUAAUCCUAAUCUCAAUACCCCCUUUCAGCAAAUUUCAACCCUCUCUUUAUUCUUUUCAUCAAUUUUACCACCUCCUUCACCAACACCAUCAUCACCGCCACCGUCACCAACCGUCAACUUCAUCUUCCUCCUUUUCCACUGUCACAACCAUAAACAACAACAACUUCACUCUAACUUUUAAUUUUACUUCUCAUCAUCACUUCUCCAAUCUCAAAUCCUAUCAACACUCCAUUACCGCCAUUACCAUCACCACCCUUCCUCCAUCACUUUCAAUACAAUGUCAGAAGGAGAAGCACCUUUGGAUGUUAAAAAUUGAAACUUUGACAAGAUUGCUUUGGUGGGAUCGCAUGUGAGUAACACAAGAAUCUUUGCACAUGAUGGUGGUGAUUUGGGAGAGUGAGAAAUUUCAACUUCGUUAAUUAUAUAAUAAAUUUGUAAUUUGUACUAUUGUAAAUAUAGGACCUUUUUCCAUGGAGUCCAUGAGCUUGAAGUGGACCUAGGAGGAGUUGAAUCACACCACAGAACCUUGCACGCUGGAUCUCGGUUCAGUCUCACUUCCGGAGCUUCUCCAUCUAGCGUUGCGUGGGAACGGAUGAAUUGCCUGGUUGCCUUGUUGUCGUCUUUGUCAUCGUCAGCGUGGAAAGAUGGCGGCAGUGGUGGUUACUAGAGUAGUAGAGAAUAGAAGGUGAUUAAGGUAGUGGCAAUGGAGGUGUUUGAGAUUUGGGAAAGAAGAGAGGAAGGGUUGAAGAUAAAGGAUGGGGUAAUUCUGGAAUUUUUUAAAAAUUCAACAUAAAUUUAGGAUUUGAGUACUUUUGUCGUACGAAAUCCAUCUUUGAUGGAUACAACGUUAGUUUUCUUUUUUAAUGGGUACUUUUGCCAGCGUUCGUAAAGUUCAUGGGUACAAAUAGUUGUUUUUCCUAGAAAUAAUCUUUCAAAGGAAUAAUCUUUCAAAGUCUUCACUCCAUAAUCCUUCAUUAAA